rnacentral:snRNA from 1 species
UCACUUUGAUAGUGCACAUACUAAAGUUGGAAUGAUACAGAGAGAACCAACAUGGCCCCUGAAGACACGCAAAUUCAUGAAGCGUUUCCUAAGUCU